CAGUCGCCGCGGGAAUACGUAGGUGGCAAGCGUUGUCCGGAAUUAUUGGGCGUAAAGGGCUCGCAGGCGGUUUCUUAAGUCUGAUGUGAAAGCCCCCGGCUCAACCGGGGAGGGUCAUUGGAAACUGGGAAACUUGAGUGCAGAAGAGGAGAGUGGAAUUCCACGUGUAGCGGUGAAAUGCGUAGAGAUGUGGAGGAACACCAGUGGCGAAGGCGACUCUCUGGUCUGUAACUGACGCUGAGGAGCGAAAGCGUGGGGGGCGAACAGGAUUAGAUACCCCCGUAGUCCCUGUCUCUUAUAC
rnacentral:rRNA from 1 species